CCUCCACCCAAAGCCUCCGUGGCCCCUGUCUCACUGAGUGUGAGCCUGGGGUCCCUGCCCAUCACCCAGCCCGCUCCCCAGCAUCCUCCCCAUCCCACACACUCACCAGCUGAGUCGGGCUCCAGAGCCUCUGCACUGGUAGCUCCUGGUGCUGACACCUGCACAACCACGUCCCUCGGGGCCGCCUCUCCUGCCUCUGUGGGACUCCAUGCUGGUGGGGGCCUCGGCCUGGUUCCUCAGGGCUGGACAAACUGUGGACCUGGUGAAAGAAAGGCCCGGACAUGGUCUUGUCUGCUCCACCGGACACUUCCUCCAUCCCAUCUCACGCAAGUCUGCUGUUUCUUUGUCAACCCAAGAGAAAUGGGGAGCAGGGCCCUCAGCGACACAAGGUGCUGCCUUCACCUUCUAAAACUCAGUCAGUCGAAGCUUCCUGGGGGGCAGCAGAGGUCUCCUCUGACCACAGGAUGGACAGCCCACUGGCAGGGGGCACCAGACCCUGGGUAGGCUUUCCAGAGGGGUAAGCAGUGGGUGGCCGGGGCCUUCUGACCUGCCCAAGGGGCUGGGAUUUAAGAUCUGGUCUGUUCUUCCCACCCACUCUUUCUCAAGCCAACACCCCCUGGAAGCCGCUGCUUGACAUGCCGGCCCUCCUGAGACCUCGACCCUACCUAGGGGCUUCUCCCCUGCAAAGUGUUCUGCCCCUGCAGCUGUCACACAUCUGGAUGGGGAGGCUGCCUGGUGAUGGCAGUGAUGCCCAGACUUGGCUGGGGCCCUGUCUGCUGCAGAAGGUGCCCCAUCUCUCCUGAGCUUGGCCUGCAGAGCCAGGGCUGGGAGGUCCCACCCACCUUGAGGGGGUGAGGGACUUGGGCACAGGUCCUGUCCCCAGGAGGAGGGUGUGUGUGAGCCUCCCUCCAUCUCAGGGGCUCUGGGUGUCUUCUCCUUUGCCUUGAGGUUUUCACUCAGAGAUGAUUUUGAUGCAUCUUCAGCAUCUGCUGAGGCCAAGUCUGCCCUCCUCAUAGCCCUGGUCAGAUCAGAACCUUCUUCCCUGAGGGGGCAGAAUUUAUGAGCCCUCAGCUCCCUGGGCCUCUGCGUCCACAUGGGGAUGGCCUGACACUUUGUGCUUUUAGGCAUCCCAGCCCUGGCAGGACGGGGUCAGGCCCCUUCCCCCACCCACCCGGCCAGGUGGCCUUUCAGGAGCGGGAAGAUCUCCAAAUCAGUUCAUGUUGAGUCCAAGAAUGUCACCAGUUAUUGCAACUGUCCUGUGAAGACUCGGAAAACCUGAGCACAGCACUGAACACCAGGGCAGUUGUUGAGUGCUUGGUCCAUGGUGCCCCCACAACUUCCAGACCCCUGCUGCGGCGGAGGGCCUCCACUCCCGAUGUUCAUCCAGGGCCUUUGUCUCAGCCCCUCACCAGUCUCCUUGAAGCUCCAGCCAUGGGUUCUUCAGUCAACUGCCCUCUUUUGCUAUUUCAUGCACAUACAUGCGUUUAUUUCCUUUCGCCUUUUUCAGGUUUGCAUCCUGUCUUCUCAGGUUGCAGACUUGCUUUAUUUCUUUCUGUUCCUCCCGAUUUCUCAGACGCAGCUAAGGACCCCACCCCCAAACCUGCAGGCUCUGUUUGGCUCUUGUGGGCCUUCUGGAGGUUGUGAUCUCUCCUCUUAACACAUCAUGUGAUAGAGGUGGGGAUUUAAAUGUCAAGAUAAUUGGGUUUGGGAGGCAA